AAGCUAGUGGAGGUGAUGGAAUUCCAGUUGAGCUACUUCAAAUCCUAAAAGAUGAUGCUGUGAAAAUGUUGCCCUCAAUAUGCCAGCACAUUUGGAAAACUCAGCAUGGCCACAGGACUGGAAAAGGUCAGUUUUCAUUCCAAUCCCCAAGAAAGGCAAUGCCAAAGAAUGCUCAAACUACUGCACAGUUGCACUCAUCUCACACGCUAGCAAAGUAAUGCUCAAAAUUCUCCAAGGUAGGCUUCAACAGUACGUGAACCGUGAACUUCCAGAUGUUCAAGCUGGAUUUAGAAAAGACAGAGGAACCAGAGAUCAAAUUGCCAACAUCUGAUGGAUCAUUGAAAAAGCAAGAGAGUUCCAGGAAAAAACAUUUACUUCUGCUUCAUUGACUAUGCGAAAGCCUUUGACUGUGUGGAUCACCACAAACUGUGGAAAAUUCUUCAAGAGAUGGGGAUACCAGACCACCUGACCUGCCUCCUGAGAAAUCUGUAUGCAGGUCAAAAAGCAACAGUUAGAACCAGACAUGGAACAGACUGGUUCCAAAUUG
ensembl:lncRNA